UCCCACCGUCUCCAACCCCAAAACCCUAAUCCAUAGGUGUUCUAUAGAACUUCGAGGGUGAUCAUCGCUGUCCCCAUCAUUGUCGCUGCCAUACAUUAUGAGAAGUUUUGUCCAUUCGUCCUCCUACAGUCGUACAGAAAUUUUGAGACGAUGACGAGGAAGAAAGAUCGAUCCACGCAGCUGUUGCAAGCGGUUCGAGAGCGAGGAAAAACAGGUGAAGAGAAUUAAGAUGCAACGUACCAGCGGCCGGCCGUG